UGGAUCUCAAAGAGAAUCCUUCAGGGUGAGCAAAGUCCUGGAAACCUGUAGGCAGAUAAAGAAAAGGAAAGAAAGAGCUAAUCAGUGCAUGCAGUUUUCAGCUGGCUGGGACCUGAGGCGAGUCACUUGUGGAGCCAAUAUCUCACCUUCAGAAGUAAAAUGCUUAGGAAACCAAGACAAGGAACUGUGUGUUGCAAACAGCAUCACCCUGGAGAAGAGGUGGCAGGAGGUGACCUACAGAAAAUGGAGCAAUAGCCUAGAGCAAGAAACACAGAACAAAAGAGAAAUGAGGGGUCAGGCAACCUCCUGGAAGCACCAACAGAACAAGCACCAUAUUCAGGGGCCUCCCAACAGACUCGACUUCCAGCAUCCUCAGAUGGGGCUAGACAUGUUACAUAGACAUUCAAGACUAGAGAACUCAGGGACUUCUGAUUUAUAUCAAGAAAUGCAUACACAGCAGACGUGUGCCUGUGGAGUGGAAUUCUAGAAAAGCUCACAGCCCAGAACAUAAUGCAAACUCCCCCAGCCACAGCACCGUCCAAUCCUGAGAAGAGUGCUAAUUCUCCAUCUGAGCACCCAUUCUCCUGCAACAUCAGGGGAGAAGAUUGCACCUAAGGGUCAGACCAGCAUCUCCAAACCCAGCUCCCCACCUUUGCCUGUUGGUGGCACUUGUGGGAGAAGGGGAGAUGGUAUGAAAAGAGCCACAACAGGAGUCACCUGGACAGGGUGGAGCUUGAUGGAAACUGACAUUUGUGCCCAUUGGAGGCAAAUGCAGAAUUUGGUAUCUUCCCUAGCGUCAGGCACAUGAAACUCUCCAGUGCCCAAGACUUUUGACAGUGACUUCAGAGCACAUCUGGGAGACCCAUGUGGCCCAGGCUCCACACAGGCAGGAGCUCUGCUUCACUCACAGCAGGAUUCCUAGUGCCAAGAACACCAUAGGUGCAUAGCAGGUGAUCAAAAUAAUUGUAUGUGGCUGAAUCAGUGAGAGGUAAGAGAGGGGACUUGAUCCUAGCUGCAAACUAAGAGACCUCAUUAAAACCUAACAUGUGGCUGGGUGCGGUGGCUCACGCCUAUAAGCCCAGCACUUUGGGAGGCCGAGGGGUGGAUCACCUGAGGUCAGGAGUUCGAGACAAGCCUGGCCAACAUGGUGAAACCCCAUCUCUACUAAAUAUACAAAAAAUUGGCUGGGCAUGGUGGCGGGUGCCUGUAAUCCCAGCUACUUGGGAGGCUGAGGCAGGAGAAUUACUCGAACCCAGGAGGCGGAGGUUGCAGUGAGCCGAGAUUGCACCACUAUACUACAGCCUGGCAAUAAGAGCAAAACUCCGUCUCAAAACAAAAAACAAACAAACAAAAAACACCUAAUAUGUGAGGCCUAGCAUGGUGGCUCAGACCUGUAAUCCCAGGAUUUUGGGGGGCUGAGGCUGGAAGAUUGCUUGAGCCCAGGAGUUCAAGACCAACCUGGGCAACAUAGCGAGACCCUGUCUCUGGGAAAAAAAAAAUUACCUGGGCAUAGUUACAGUCCUAGCUACUUGGGAGGCUGAGGCAGGAGGAUUGCUGGAGCCCAGGAGUUUGAGGUUACAAUGAGCUAUGAUUGCACCACUGCAUUCCAGCCUGGGCAAUGGAGCAACACCCUGUCUCUCUUCAAAAACUAUAUAUAUAUAUAUAUAUAUAGUGUAUGUGUGUUUAUGUAUGUGUAUGAUAUCAGAAAAAAAUAACCUAUUCAUUGUGGGGGGAAAAAAAGAGCCUGACUUUGGAGGCGUAUAAGCAUGGAGUUGGGUUCAAAUCAGGCUCUGAUCUUUCUGGCUCUGUGAUAUGGGGCAGGGCAUAUUACCAAGCUCAGCCUCAGCAUCUCUACCUAUGAAAUGGGCUUGAUUCAGUACCUACCACACAGGGCUGCUGUAGUAUGUAUGAAUUAAUGUUUGUGAAAUAUUUAGCAUGGUGCCUGACACAUGGUACUCAGUAAGAAACAACUAUCGCUAUUAAGUGCUUUGCAAUUUGGUUUUCACAGAGCUAACAAUUUUUACUGUCUAGCUUUGUGUCUUUGAAAGAUUUUUGAGCUCUGAGAAUGACCUUUUAAGACCUCAACACUUCUGGAAGAGGUCACACUUUGAGCUUCAAUAGCUAGCAUUUUUGUCAAUUAGUUAACAGUGUGCUGAAAGCAAGUCCCUGUAGAGAGUGUUCACGGGCAUGAGCCACAGGGAAUACAGUGUGAGGCCUGUGGAGCUGGCAGCUGAGGAUGUCAACAGGGAAAGCACAGAGUACCAAAGACAAAAGUUGCCCAGGACGGUUCUGUGUUAGCUACCUGGUGGCAGCCUGGACACCCAAAGAUAGAGCUGAAGACACCUCUAAUGCAAGAGGCGGAUGCCCCGGAGACGUGGCUGAUUCCUUGGCUAAUUUCCUCAGCCCACCGUUGUGCAGCUUUGUGACUUCCUGGAGAGCCCACAUGCAAACAGAAAAGUCCCAGGAUAAAGAAAUGUGGAUGUUCCAUACACUUUAAAAAGAACUGGAGGGUGGAUCGCCUUAGGUUAGGAGUUCGAGACCAGCCUGGCCAACAUGGUGAAACCUUGUCUCUACUAAAAAUACAAAAAUUAGCCCAGUGUGGUAGCACGCACAUGUAGUCCUAGCUACUUGGGAGGCUGAGGCAGCAGAAUCACUUGAAUCUGGGAGGCAGAGGUUGCAGUGACCCAAGAUCACACCACUGCAUUCCAGCCCAGGAGACAGGGUGAGACUCUGUUUCAAAAAGAAAGAAAAGAGAAGAGAAAAGAUGAAAAGGAAAGGUUUAGUUUGAAAUUCCGUUACUGAAAGUUCUCGGGGUUGGGGGAGAUGGGAGGCAAUAUCUUUUUGCUAUUGUAUUUCUUAUACUGCAGUGUCAGUGAAACUACGUCAUCCUUUGUAAAAUCAAUAAAAUCCCUGUCAAUUUAUCUGGCCAUUCGAUACUUUAUCAUCUAUAAUUUUUCAAG